GCAUCUUCCGAUUGGAAUCACUCGGUUCAGUCAGUGAGUUAUCGACCAUUGUACAAACAAGUUUCCUGCUCACAGUGGAUAAUCGAUUUUAUUUUGGAAAGUGACAAAAGUGUUUUUUUAUAUCUUUAUAGUUGGAUUGAUAAAGAUUAGUAGGAACCUGCUUAGGCGUUGCAGUUUGGUAAUAGAAAGUCAUUGACAAAUAUAAAUUGAGCAUCUCGCACAAUAUACAAAUACGCACAAAUAACGCAGAAUCGGUGCCAAUCAGUCUUCAACAGAAGGAUUUGACUGACUUUGAAGACGGAUAAGUUCUUACAUCGCGAAAAUGGUCGACUUCUAUAUC